UUGCUUCAGCAACACAUAGACUACAAUUGGAACGAUACAGAGAAGAUUAGCAUGGCCCCUGCACAAGGAUGACACGCAAAUUCGUGAAGCAUUCCAUAUUUAA
rnacentral:snRNA from 1 species